AGCUCCAAUAGCGUAUAUUAAAGUUGUUGCAGUUAAAAAGCUCGUAGUUGGAUUUGUGGUUGUCGCAGGACGUUCUUCACUUUGUGUUGAAUUUGUUCCGGCGUCGCCAUCCUUGGGUGGAUCCUGUGCGGCAUUAGGUUGUCGUGCAGGGGAUGCCCAUCGUUUACUGUGAAAAAAUUAGAGUGUUCAAAGCAGGCUUAUGCCGUUGAAUAUAUUAGCAUGGAAUAAUAAGAUAGGACCUUGGUACUAUUUUGUUGGUUUGCGCACCAAGGUAAUGAUUAAUAGGGACAGUUGGGGGUAUUCGUAUUCCAUUGUCAGAGGUGAAAUUCUUGGAUUUCUGGAAGACGAACUACUGCGAAAGCAUUUACCAAGGAUGUUUUCAUUAAUCAAGAACGAAAGU
rnacentral:rRNA from 1 species